GUUCACCUCAGAACCAAAUUCAUCAGGAAGUUCAUUGAAGACGUCUCGGCAAAACCCAGAAAUCAUGGCUGCCAUGGCUUUUUCAUAGUCAAUUCCCCUUUGCUGAAAGUAAAACAGCUGAUCUUCACCAAUCUUGGAGGUGCUGGCUUCAUGUUCAACACGUGCAGUGGGAUUCUUCACCUGUUAGACAAUAGAGAUCAAACUAUUUUUAAGUAGCAAUAUAGAAUGGCAUGAAAAGUAACAGUUUCUAGAAAUAGCAUGUCGAGGGGGGGAAACUGCGUGGAAGAUGUAACAGUACUGUUCAAGAAAAAAUACAUAUAACAUGUUUGAAAGUAUGCUGAUUCCUGUUAGAAUAUAACUGCAACCGUCUCAAGCAAGUGAAGCCAAUCUAAAAUCAAGAGAGCUCUUAUUCUUUUUUACUAUUAUUAAGAAUCAAAGCUAAGGUAACAGAUUUUAGAAGGAGCUCCACACAUGCAGGAGAAUGGAAACCUCCAACAUUUACAUGUCGAAUAUUUGGGAACAAAUGGGCUGUCCUGCUCCAUUUCCCAAAGGAAUGUUUCCACUUUCACAGCCUUGUGGAUGGACUAUUAACAAAAUGGGCAGCAGGCUUCCAUCUCAGUUGCCAUGGCUUUGAGAUGUAUUAUAUAAAAUGACAGGAGCAACAACAGUAUAUUAACAAAGCACUAGGCUGCCCCUUUCUCUAAUGAUAAAGUCAUGAAGCUGGCUGCUCCACCAUGGAUAUGAGACCAGCCCCAGGAUCAUCCCCUUCAGUCUAUGGUGAACUCAGCCCCAGUGGCAGAUUUUUCAAGCAGCCCACCCCAUCCCACUGUGCUUAAGGCUUAUCUGAGUUGCCAGCAGGAUAGAAGAGAAUUAAAUGAUCUUUUUCAAAUAGGAAGGGCAAAAUCCCCAUCAUGCAAUAGUUACAAACAUGUUCUACCUGAAUCAACGAGAAACAAGUGACGGCAUCAUGCAUGCAAAUUCAUGAAAAACUUACUGAGUAAAUAAAUAUCUAGACAUCAAGUUAAUAGUACUGGUUUGUAUUAGAAAAGUAUAUUUACACAACCUCAGCUUUGUUACAAAAGAUGAUGGUUAAGAGCAACAAAAGAAAUACAUGAUCUCUUAGCAGAACAAUGAACAUACACUAAAUUGUUGUUUGGAAGACUCCAAUAGAAUAGUCAAUAGAAAAUGAUAUACCACAUAUGAUCUAAUUUCCCAUCAAACUUUUUGAAACUUAUUUUUUUAAAAAAAAUGAGAUUUCCACCGCGUGAUAUGAAUUAUCCAUAGAAAACAGCUUUCUUGGUUUUAUGGAUGUUUCAUGUUUGGGGACAUUUCAUCCAUUUGCCAUGCAUCCAAUUAAAGCAACUUCAAUUUUCUGAACCAAGUAUGAUAAUUAUCCACAAAGAAUCACAGUUAGCAUGCACCACAAAGGAUGGCACAAGAAAAGGAGUAAGGGAAUCCAAAGACGGUGAGAAUAUGAAUGCAUAGUGGCAAAAAAAGAUGAGAAAUUGGAGCAAGCUCCUAAUAAUGUUCACUGGGGGUAUCUGACUGCCAAUCCAGACCAACUGAACUGGUUAACUGCUAUGCUAACAGAAAUCUCAGUGACUAAUUUACCAUCCAUGAUGUUUCCCUUAAUUUUUUCCUAUGUACCCCACAAGCUCACCUUAGUUGUGGGGUAACUUGAACCUGCAAAUGAUAUCAUGUUGUAAUUUGCGCUACAUUUCAUGUCAUCAACAAGGAGCUACCCUUUCCAUGUGAGCAGCUUAUGACAGGAAUAAUCAGAAGACAGGAUUCAACAAUGCAUAUUAGUCAAGACAUCAUGAAUCUCUUGCUUUUCAACCACCAAGUUGGUAUUUGUACUAUGUUUCUUGUUAUCAACAAGGACUAACCCUUGAUGUAUGAGCAGCUUAUUACAAUAACAGAAUCAGACAACAGGAUUCAGCUAUGCCAUACCAACAGAAAGUAACGCUCAGCCAUAGCCAUCACAAUAUGGCUGUCUUUGCAUCAACUGAUAUUUAAUGCCAUUUAGAACAUAACCCUUGAGAAAUAUUCAGGGAGGGGGCAAAACGAAAGAGCCAGCUCAUACAUGAAUAGUCAACAAAAAAGUUUUAACAUGCCUGGAAAAAAACACUAGCAGAUUAAAGAAAGUUACCUGGAUAUAAGGAUAGGUAUUGGCAGCUGCAGUGUCACCAAUAAGCAUUGAGUCACAUUGUGAGGAGUUCCGAGCAUUGUCUGCCUUGGAUUGAACCUGAACCAGCCCUCUAUAACAGUUUCUAGAAUGUCCAACUGAAAUACCCUUUGAAAUAAUUCGACUUCUA
rnacentral:lncRNA from 1 species